GAUAAGAUAGAUAAAACCAGAACACUACCUCCCAUUUCAUUUCAACAUUUAACCAAAGAAAACAUUUUCUUUCUCUCCCUCUCCUCCCUUGUUUACGGCUCAACAUCACCAUCAUCAUCUACCCAUUUUUAAAAUCCAAACAAGUGUUUUAAGGGUAUUCAAGAGCAUUUCAAGGUGAUCUAAGGUGGUUACAAGCAUAAGGGAUCAUCAAGGAUACUAGCUUGCAAGGAUUGGAGCUUUCUUUUCUUCAUAUUCUCCAAAAGUUCUUCCCUAGCCUUGUGCUAGUUUCGGGGUAUCACUAUGGACUUAGUGGCCCCGUAAUGACGGGAAAUAAGAAACAUUGCAUGGUUAGGAAGUCAAGGACAAGAGUUACAAGAACGAUGCCUUUUGGAGGGUUUGCCUCAUAUAUCCCGCCCUCAUGUGGAAUAUAGGUGUCAAAGCCUCGUUUCAAAUAUCUAUAUUUUGGUUAAGACCAUUUUAUGAACAUGAAGUACUCGGUUUAUAUUUGUGAACAAAACACUUUGAUCUUGUAUUUUUAACUCAGAUGUUUGCGUAACGGUGAUCCUUAUCGGUUAGGGCAGACGACUAGUAGAGAAACUCUCAAUCAAAGGAUAUCAGAGAAAGGACGUAGAGGGAUUACUUAAUAUCUCUCAAACCUCUAUAAAUCGGUUUUGUCAUUCAUUCCCUAAGCUUUCUAAAUACUUGCACAACUUAUUUUUUAUUACUUACAAGUGCAUUGUUGGGUUUUAUCAAGUGACUAAUCAACGAAACAAGUGUUUAAUAAAGAAAUUUAAAAAAAAAAACUAAUGUCACCCCCCAACCGAUGGCGGAAACAUCAGAGUGAGACGAAUGAGAUUGUUCAAAGACAACAUAACACUAUGAUCGUGACAAUAACUUAAUAAUUCAAUAUUAUCCCAUCGCUAGAAGUUACAUCGUCUUAAAAGGAAAGUACAACAUAUUGGGAAAUAACAUAACAACAUUAUGACAAACAUAAAAUGAAAUUUUGGAUGAGUUUCUAGUUUGCCCUAAGUUGAUUUUGUUGAGCGUCAUCAUAUAUUUCUUGCAACAUGUAUUAAAGUAUUUGUCAACACAAAUAGUCGGUGAGCAUACAAGUUUGGUUUACAUAGCAUAAGUAUAAAAAAAUGUCUCGGAUCCACAUAAAAUUGUAUACUAAGUUAUAUGAAUCAUACUAGCUUGCAUGAACUAUAAAUCAAACCAAAGUGUCCACUAGCGUAAUCUUAUCAUCGCAACGAUAAGGCCGUAAAGAUUGAAUAGUUAACAAUGACCCAACAGAUGCGGUAGUGUGCUACUCCUAUAACGCUAUGCAUGUUAAGGUAGGCUUGCAAAGUUAGUGAUGGAUAACAUGCAUUUAGUGUGUCCUAGUAUGUAUAAGAUCAAACGUAGUGGGGCGCUAUAUACCCCAAAAAACCAAAGAUAGCGCUGCAUGGCGCCGGCUACACCGGGACGGGGGGCGGUAUCAGGCCAAAAUCAGAUGACAGUGCCAUCCAUACUGCGUCGUGAUGGUUCUUGAAUAGUUUUGGUUUUAUACAAACUUAGUCCCUGCAAAUCGGAGAAGAAGACAUAGGAGAGAAGAAGACAUAGGAGUCGGCCGAAAAAUCGAAUGCAAACUCACCGGAAAAUUGGAGAAGAAGACAGGAGGCGGCUGAAGGUAUUUGAUAUUGAAAGUUUUUGCUUAAUACACAUUUGGUCUCUGUUUUUGCUUAAUACACAUUUAGUCCCUGUUUUUGCUUAAUACACAGUUGAUUUUGAAAGUUUUUGCUUAAUACACAAUCGCUUAAUACAUUUGGUCCCUGUUUUUUAAAGUUUAAAAAUAUGGCAGUUUUAAUACUUGUAAAAUAACUUUAAAAAACUUAAUGUUUUUUUAUUUAAUGUAAUGGUUUUUAAUUUAAAAGGUUUAGAAAUUAAUUAAAAAUUUGAAAAUUAAUUAAUUGAGUAAUGAUGAGGUAGGAGCUUUAUGACUACGGGCUCAAGUGACAUAACGUCCCAUAAAGCCCCUGUAUGACGUGGCACGACACGUGUCGCAUAACGCCCACAAAGGGACUUUAUGACUACGGAUGGCCUAACAAAUAGCAUAACAAGUAGCAUGUUGAUGAAUUUAGGUGUUUGUGUAAGCAUGAUUGUAUGUGUAUUGUGAACUUAAUAAUGAUGCAUGUUGCAACCCAAAGUGUAUAAAAAAUAAAAUGGGUCAAGUAUACUCACGGUUUGCGAAGAAUUUCCACAAAAUACGAGUGAGCGGUUUUGUGAGGAUUGAACACCAAAGUCAUCAGUUUUGGUUCAUGAACUUAUUUCCAAAGUUGAAAAUCUUGGAGAUUUGAGAGAGUUCGGAGGUGAUUUGGAGGUGGUGCAAGUGUUUGGAAGGUGUUAGCAGUUGGUAUUUAUAAGAGGGUUAAGUAGUUGACGUUUAAAUGAAAGUGGUUGGGAGUUAGGAAGAGUAUUAAAUAAGUUGGUUGGAGGUUAGAAGGUGGGUUUGGGGUAUUAAAUGAGUUGGUUGGGGUUAAAUGUAAUAAUGUAUGCAAAUAUGAUAAGAAAACUUAUGAAAUAACAUUCCAAAUAAAAUCUCGAUGUAUGACUCGGUUUUGAAUUAAAAAUGUGUAUUUGUGAUUGUUUACGUAUUAUGCAAAAAUAAUAUAAAAUAUGAUUAUCAUUAUGAUCAAGUCUCGAAUUACAAAGCAUUGAAAUAAGAAUACUAAUUACAAUA
rnacentral:lncRNA from 1 species